rnacentral:rRNA from 1 species
UACGGAGGAUCCGAGCGUUAUCCGGAUUUAUUGGGUUUAAAGGGUGCGCAGGCGGAAGAUUAAGUCGGCGGUGAAAUUUUGCAGCUCAACUGUAAAAGUGCAUCGAUACUGGUUUUCUUGAGUGUGGAUGAAGUAGGCGGAAUUUGUAGUGUAGCGGUGAAAUGCAUAGAUAUUACAAGGAACUCCGAUUGCGAAGGCAGCUUACUAAAAUACAACUGACGCUCAGGCACGAAGGCGUGGGUAUCAAACAGGAUUAGAUACCCUGGUA